rnacentral:rRNA from 1 species
AUUGAACGCUGGCGGCAUGCCUUACACAUGCAAGUCGAACGGCAGCGGACCUUCGGGUGCCGGCGAGUGGCGAACGGGUGAGUAAUAUAUCGGAACGUGCCUUUCAGUGGGGGAUAACGUAGCGAAAGUUACGCUAAUACCGCAUAUUCUGUGAGCAGGAAAGCAGGGGAUCGCAAGACCUUGCGCUGAUUGAGCGGCCGAUAUCAGAUUAGCUAGUUGGUGAGGUAAAGGCUCACCAAGGCGACGAUCUGUAGCGGGUCUGAGAGGAUGAUCCGCCACACUGGAACUGAGACACGGUCCAGACUCCUACGGGAGGCAGCAGUGGGGAAUUUUGGACAAUGGGCGCAAGCCUGAUCCAGCCAUGCCGCGUGAGUGAAGAAGGCCUCGGUUGUAAG